GUUCUCGUAGCUCAGUUGGUUAGAGCACCCGCUUAGUAAGGAGAGAUCUUGAGUUUGACUCUCACCGAUAUCA
rnacentral:tRNA from 1 species